GUAUUUUGACUGUGCAAAGGUAGCAUAAUCACUUGCUUCUUAAUUAGGAGCUGGAAUGAAAGAGGCGACGAAAUCUAGACUAUUUAGAUUUUAGGUAAAUUGACAAGUAGUUCAAAAGGCCUACAUAAACCAGGGGGACGAUAAGACCCUAUAAAACUUUACUUUUAGCGUGUCUGCUUAACAGGGUGCCUUUACAGUUGAGAGUUAGACUGGGGCGGUGCUUAUAAAAACAAUUAGACAUAUAAUAUAUUAAAUAGUGUGGUAGAACUCUUUUAAGAAAUAGAACAAGUUACUUUAGGGAUAACAGCGUGAUUCUCCCAGAGAGUUCUAAUUGGCGGGGGAGUUUACGACCUCGAUGUUGAAUUGGGAAACCGCGUGUAAGCAAAA
rnacentral:rRNA from 1 species